UACGGAGGAUGCAAGCGUUGUUCGGAAUCACUGGGCUUAAAGAGCAUGUAGGCGGUCCGGUAAGUCAGCUGUGAAAGUCAAGGGCUCAACCCUUGAAAGCCGGUUGAUACUGUCGGGCUAGAGUCCGGAAGAGGCGAGUGGAAUUCCCGGUGUAGCGGUGAAAUGCGCAGAUAUCGGGAGGAACACCAAUGGCGAAGGCAGCUCGCUGGGACGGUACUGACGCUGAGACGCGAAAGCGUGGGGAGCAAACAGG
rnacentral:rRNA from 1 species